CCUACGGGAGGCAGCAGUGGGGGAUCUUGCACAAUGGGGGGAACCCUGAUGCAGCGACGCCGCGUGAGUGAAGAAGCGCCUCGGCGCGUAAAGUCCUAUCAUCAGGGAAGAAAAUGACUGUAACUGAAGAAGAAGCCCCGGCUAACUACGUGCCAGUAGCCGAGGUAAUACGUAGGGGGCAAACGUUAUCCGGAGUUACUGGGUGUAAAGGGGGCGCAGACUGUGAUGCAAGCCAGGAGUGAAAGCCGGGGGCCCAACCCCGGGACGGCUCUUGGAACUGGGUGGCUUGAGUGCAGGAGGGGCAGGCGGAAUUCCAGGUGUAGCGGUGAAAUGCGUAGAGAGCAGGAGGAACACCGGUGGCGAAGGCGGCCUGCUGGACUGCAACUGACGUUGAGGCCCGAAAGCGUGGGGAGCAAACAGGAUUAGAUACCCGAGUAGUC
rnacentral:rRNA from 1 species